AGUGAACGCUGGCGGUAGGCCUAACACAUGCAAGUCGAACGGCAGCACAGUAAGAGCUUGCUCUUACGGGUGGCGAGUGGCGGACGGGUGAGGAAUACAUCGGAAUCUACUUUUUCGUGGGGGAUAACGUAGGGAAACUUACGCUAAUACCGCAUACGACCUACGGGUGAAAGCAGGGGAUCUUCGGACCUUGCGCGAUUGAAUGAGCCGAUGUCGGAUUAGCCAGUUGGCGGGGUAAAGGCCCACCAAGGCGACGAUCCGUAGCUGGUCUGAGAGGAUGAUCAGCCACACUGGAACUGAGACACGGUCCAGACUCCUACGGGAGGCAGCAGUGGGGAAUAUUGGACAAUGGGCGCAUGCCUGAUCCAGCCAUACCGCGUGGGUGAAGAAGGCCUUCGGGUUGUAAAGCCCUUUUGUUGGGAAAGAAAAGCAGCAGGUUAAUACCCCGCUGUUCUGACGGUACCCAAAGAAUAAGCACCGGCUAACUUCGUG
rnacentral:rRNA from 1 species